AGGAGUAUAGCUCAGUUGGCUAGAGCACCGGUCUCCAAAACCGGGUGUCGGGGGUUCAAGUCCCUCUACUCCUGCCA
rnacentral:tRNA from 1 species